GACACAGGCCACAUUGGGGACUUUGGAGAUUCAGCACUUCCCUCAGCGCUGGGCUCAACCCGCUGGGCCCUCCGGGAGGCCCUAUUUUUGAAGACACCGUACCAAUUCUCUACAGCUGCGUAGAAAGAGCGUCCAGAUGCCUCCACACCCCAGGGCUUGCAGGAAGAACAGGUCACCUGGAGGUGCCCCUGCAGUGGGAACCAGUGUGUCCACGGCGGCCGCCUCCUCGUGCCCUCUGGGACCUGCGUGGGAAGAGCAGAGCCAGUGAAGCCCAAGCACGGAGGAGGCUCUUUCCUUAGUGACACCCCCCGGGAAGUGCUGCAUGGACUCAUAUGCGACAAAGUACAGAUGGAAACCAGGAGGCCCUAUCGAGGCACCACUCACUGGCGGGUGCUUCACCAGACCCAUUGCCCUCCCUGCCCUUCACCUGCUCUGCUCCUGGGACUGCU